rnacentral:rRNA from 1 species
GACGAACCGUGCGAGCGUUGUUCGGAAUCACUGGGCUUAAAGGGCGCGUAGGCGGGCUGUCCAGUCUGGGGUGAAAUCCCGCGGCUCAACCGUGGAACUGCCUCAGAUACUGACGGCCUCGAGGGAGAUAGGGGCAUGCGGAACUGUAGGUGGAGCGGUGAAAUGCGUUGAUAUCUACAGGAACUCCGGUGGCGAAGGCGGCGUGCUGGAUCUCUUCUGACGCUGAGGCGCGAAAGCUAGGGGAGCAAACGGG